rnacentral:rRNA from 1 species
AGUGGCGGACGGGUGAGUAACGCGUGAGAAUCUGCCUUGGGGUCGGGGACAACCACUGGAAACGGUGGCUAAUACCGGAUAAGCCGAUUGGUGAAAGAUUUAUUGCCCGAAGAGGAGCUCGCGUCUGAUUAGCUAGUUGGUGAGGUAAGAGCUCACCAAGGCAGCGAUCAGUAGCUGGUCUGAGAGGACGAUCAGCCACACUGGGACUGAGACACGGCCCAGACUCCUACGGGAGGCAGCAGUGGGGAAUUUUCCGCAAUGGGCGAAAGCCUGACGGAGCAAGACCGCGUGAGGGAGGAAGGCUCUUGGGUUGUAAACCUCUUUUCUCAGGGAAGAAGCUCUGACGGUACCUGAGGAAUCAGCCUCGGCUAACUCCGUGCCAGCAGCCGCGGUAAUACGGAGGAGGCAAGCGUUAUCCGGAAUUAUUGGGCGUAAAGCGUCCGCAGGUGGCGAUUCAAGUCUGCUGUCAAAGCACGGGGCUUAACUCCGUAAAGGCAGUGGAAACUGAAUAGCUAGAGUGCCGUAGGGGUAGAGGGAAUUCCCGGUGUAGCGGUGAAAUGCGUAGAGAUCGGGAAGAACAUCGGUGGCGAAAGCGCUCUACUGGACGGCAACUGACACUCAGGGACGAAAGCUAGGGGAGCGAAUGGGGUUAGAUACCCC